AGGGCCCCACACGGUGGUUGAAAACAUGCCGAGACCGCCGUCUCUACAUCCAUACGUGGAGUGGAGGUCGCCCUCGCCAGGACACCACCAACCCGAGGAGGAAGAGGUGCCGUUCGUCCGCCUGGCUGGCAUCGCUUCCCCCUGGACUUCGGGCUGCUCGAUGCUGUGCUGCUCCCCGUGAUUUGCGUCCUCUGCAUGCGACUUGCCUCUCUCCGAUCUGGAUACACCAUCGCCAGCCAUGUAACUGUCAUCGUUAGAUGAAAUAUUUGCCGAUAUGGAAAUUGCAGGAACCUUGUGCAACUGAUAUACUUUCCCGUCAUGAAAAAUCCUUCUCUCAGUUCAUCCAGUGUCAACUAUUUAGAUCAUAUAUGGAUGUUGCAGUUUCAUGCGAGCCUUGUAAAGUUCACUUCAUCUACGGAUUUACAGUUCGUGAAUCCAAGGGAUCCACUGUAGUGUAUAAAGCAUCAGAUCCUGAAUUGAUAUGUCAGGUA